CAUUUUCAAUUUGUACCCACAUUGGUCCCUCACAGUUGGUGUUAUUGUACAAAGCCUCGCUCCUGCACGUUUCACUCUCCUUCUUCCUCGCGUUCUUCAUCGCAUUCUUUAGGCUUCCAAUUCUCUUCCUUUACGCUCUCCAAACCUACACCCACCUCGAUGCCCAACCCUCCACCUCCAACGGCCUUCCUGCUGCCAUUCGCCACCCUAGUGCCCCCAAAGGCCCUGCUCCCGACCUCAGAAAGUACCCCAAGAAUAAGGACAAGCUCGAUUUCGAGUAGAAGAAUGCCCAGAUCUUCAGGCUCAGGCUCGACCAUGCUCACUGCAUAAUCACUACUUGUGCCUUGUGGAUUAUGGUACAUUGGUAGUGGUGUAUUGUGUGUGUGAUAUGGGAGGAACUUUGUUCUUCUGGUGUUUUGCUUCUGAUGCUUUUGUUUUGUGUAUUGUAAGCAUGAAAGAGGCAAAGAAGAACAUGUAUGUCUUUAGCACCAUCACCUACAUAGGAUUCCAUGCACUGUUGACGAAGCAACAUCUGAAAAAUUCAAGGGGUUGCCUGUUGUUCUUUGGGUGCCGUCAGACUUGUAUAUAGAUGUUAAAAACAAAGAUUAUGGAGGUUAAAUUCGCUUAUGGAAGAGGCACACAAGCUAUUCGACGAAAUGUCCGAAUGAACUGUUGUUUCAUGGACAACUUUGAUACCUGCUUAGAAGCUCUCGAUUUGUUUGACUCCAUGAAAGUUAUGGGUCCAAAACCAAACUAUAUAACAAUGCUUGGGGUUCUAUUUGCAUGUAGUCAUGCACGGCUGGUCAAUGAAGGCUGAAAUUACUUUCGGUCUAUAAAGAAUCUUUAUGGAAUAGAUCUUAAAACAGAGCACUAUAGUUGCACGCUUGAUCUUCUUGGAAUAGUUGGGAAGCUUGACGACAUGGUUAAGCUAAUUCAGGAGAUGAAUUGUGAGCCGGAUGUUGUAGCAUGGAGGACUCUGCUUUAUGCUUGCAAAGCCCACCGAAAUGUGCGUGAAUCUCAGGAACAGUUGCCGGAGAACACCCUUGUUGGAUUAGUUACCUUUGACUCCAUGGUUUAUAUUCAUGAUCUUGGCUAUUCUGAGUGCUCAAAGGUUAUCCUAUUCCAUGGCGAUCGUGAAGUUUCGUCUAAUCAGACCAGAUAGUUCCUCAACAUUAGUCACGCCUACCACCAGCUGCAUCAUGGACAAACAACUGUUGUCCCAAAGCAGGGAUAUUUGUUGCCAAUUUCAGAAUGCGAGUUCAGCAUCACCGCGGCAAUUGAAGAGAUCCAUUGUAUGUGGAAGUACGAGUAAAUACCCAUAUGAAAAAGAAGAAGAAGAGAUGAAGACGAAGAGGAGAUAAACUGUAUGAAAAUUUGGGAAUUUAGGGUUAGGAACCAACAUGGGUGCAAAUUGAAAAUUAGCCAACUCAACUAGCCAUUGGACCCCUCCAGUGUAGUAAACCGAGUCCAUGUCAGCGCUUCGGUGAUGAUUCAUCACCAGAAAUAUUGAGUGCUCGGAGCUCUAUCUGGAGGACUACAAUAGAAAAAUCGGGAUCUUAAAGAUUAGAUUGAGUAUUUACGCGAAUCUCAAGGAUAACUAUGGGUAUUUACUCGAUUUAAAUAUUAUAUGAAUAUAUAAAAAGUAUUUUGAUAUUCAAAGAAUUAAGGCCCAAUUUGGGUAAAUAACUUAAAUAAGUUCUUUUGGAAAAAGAGCUUAAAGUAUAAGGACUUUUAUUAA